UGGGGAAUAUUGGACAAUGGGCGAAAGCCUGAUCCAGCCAUGCCGCGUGUGUGAAGAAGGCCUUUUGGUUGUAAAGCACUUUAAGCGAGGAGGAGGCUACCGAGAUUAAUACUCUUGGAUAGUGGACGUUACUCGCAGAAUAAGCACCGGCUAACUCUGUGCCAGCAGCCGCGGUAAUACAGAGGGUGCGAGCGUUAAUCGGAUUUACUGGGCGUAAAGCGUGCGUAGGCGGCUUUUUAAGUCGGAUGUGAAAUCCCUGAGCUUAACUUAGGAAUUGCAUUCGAUACUGGGAAGCUAGAGUAUGGGAGAGGAUGGUAGAAUUCCAGGUGUAGCGGUGAAAUGCGUAGAGAUCUGGAGGAAUACCGAUGGCGAAGGCAGCCAUCUGGCCUAAUACUGACGCUGAGGUACGAAAGCAUGGGGAGCAAACAGG
rnacentral:rRNA from 4 species